UACAGAGACUGCAAGCGUUAUUCGGAUUCACUGGGCGUAAAGGGUGCGCAGGCGGCCAUGUGUGUUGGGCGUGAAAGCCCGGGGCUUAACCUGGGAAUUGCGAUGGAGACUGCAAGGCUUGAAUCUGGCAGAGGGGGGUAGAAUUCCACGUGUAGCAGUGAAAUGCGUAGAGAUGUGGAGGAACACCGAUGGCGAAGGCAGCCCCUGGGUCAACACUGACGCUCAGGCACGAAAGCGUGGGGAGCAAACAGG
rnacentral:rRNA from 1 species